CGCGGGGGUGGCCGUGUGGUGUGGUGGCGCGCAGGCCACAUGGGAUGGAAUGAUGAGGUACGACCCCAGCGCCGCCCGCCCAGCUCCGCCGCACCUUCGUCCUGCCUUCUGGGACUGACCCCCAGCUCUGGCCACAAGGACAGCGCCCCUCCCACCCCAGCUGCUCUGGCCCCGGCCCUAGAAGGAGCACAUUUUGAUUUAUCUGAAAUUGUCUGAGGUGCCAAGUCCAUUCUUCUAGCCCUGUGUAAUUUAUCUGCAUUCAUGCACAUUGCAGAGCUCACUGUAUUAGAACUCUGAGCACUGUGGUAGUUUAAUUUAACCAAGUGCUCCCAUAAUGAGAAGCCAUUCCUAGAACCCUCAGAAUGUUGCUGGCUCAUACCUUGAGGCCAAUAUCUCCGGCUCCGGAUCCACUCAAUUUCUCUCAGAAGGCUGCAAAAGAUCAAAAGUUGUCAAGAGGUCAUAUAUAUAGCAUGAAUAACCAGAAGCAUAUUUCUGUUUGGAACAUGAAACAGAAACUCACUGCAGGAUUCCAUGGAUUCCAUGGAUUGAUGAAUGAGAAGAUCCCAGGUGGAUCACCCUUAAAUCAACUGAUCUGUAUAAAUAGCCUACUGCCUCAAUCAUGACGUGAUGACAAGAGUCACUUGCCAAUAAAUGACCUGCUAGAUAUUUGAAAA
ensembl:lncRNA novel transcript